GCUGGCGGCACGCCUAAUACAUGCAAGUCGAACGGGGUAGCAAUACCUAGUGGCAGACGGGUGAGUAACAUGUGGGUACCUUCCCUUUGGUGAGGAAUAACACGAGGAAACUUGUGCUAAUACCUCAUAAGUCUUUACGGAGAAAGCUUUAUGCGCCAAUGGAUGGGCUCGCACUUGAUUAGUUAGUUGGUAAGGUAAUGGCUUACCAAGACUUUGAUCAAUAGCUGAUUUGAGAGGAUGAUCAGCCACAUUGGGACUGAGACACGGCCCAAACUCCUACGGGAGGCAGCAGUAGGGAAUCUUGCACAAUGGAGGAAACUCUGAUGCAGCGAUGCCGCGUGAGUGAAGAAGGCCUUUGGGUUGUAAAGCUCUUUCGUCGGGGAAGAAAAUGACUGUACCCGAAUAAGAAGGUCCGGCUAACUUCGUGCCAGCAGCCGCGGUAAUACGAAGGGACCUAGCGUAGUUCGGAAUUACUGGGCUUAAAGAGUUCGUAGGUGGUUAAAAUAGUUGGUGGUGAAAUCCCAGAGCUUAACUCUGGAACUGCCAUCAAAACUUUUUAGCUAGAGUAUGAUAGAGGAAAGCAGAAUUUCUAGUGUAGAGGUGAAAUUCGUAGAUAUUAGAAAGAAUACCGAUUGCGAAGGCAGCUUUCUGGAUCAUUACUGACACUGAGGAACGAAAGCAUGGGUAGCGAAGAGGAUUAGAUACCCUCGUAGUCCAUGCCGUAAACGAUGUGUGUUAGAUGUUGGAAAUUUAUUUUCAGUAUCGCAGCGAAAGCGUUAAACACACCGCCUGGGGAGUACGACCGC
rnacentral:rRNA from 1 species